AGAUGCAGCCAGGAGGAACAGCUGGGCCAUGCGGGAGGCAGAGGCCGGGCCUCCUCAAGUCGGCCUCUCAGACCCACUUGCAGCCUCCCAGCGUCCUCUCCGGGCCCAGCUCUUCCUCCCGGCUGCGUCUCCAGGCCGGACUCUGGCCCGACUCCAGGUCCCAACAACGUCUUUGGACUCAGCUCCUGCCCAGCUCCCAGAGGCCCUGGUAGGCCCACAACUUCCCUAAGCCAAGCUCCCCAGGCCCAGCUCAGGCCUCACGGUGGCCUCUCCAGGCUCAGCUCCUGCCCUCCGAUGGCAUCUGCAGGCCCCAAACGGCCUCCGGUUGGUGGGCUUCUCUAGGCCCAGCUUGGGCCUCCCGGUGGCCUCUGCAGGCCCAAAUCGUCCCGAAGUCGGCCUCUCCAGGCCCAGCUCCGGCCUCCCAGCGGCCUCUGCAGGCCCAAGUCGUCCUCAAGUCGGCCUGGAAGUGGGCCUGGAAGAGCAGCAAGUCGGCCUCCCCGGGCCCAGCUCCGUCCUCUCGGCGGCCUCUCCAGGUGCAAAACUUCCUCGAGUCAGCCUCUCCAGGCCCAGCUCUUCCUGCCUCCCAGUGGCCUCUUUCGGCCCAGCCCAGUUCAUGGCUCUCGGCGGCCUUCCCAGGCCCCGCUUUUGACUUUUGGCAGCCUCUUCAGGCGCAGAACUUGAUCUCCAGUCGGCCUUUGCAGGCCCGGCCUCCUGCCUCUCAAAGGCCUGCACGGGCCUGGCCUUGGCCUUGGCC
rnacentral:lncRNA from 1 species